CUUCCGGUGUCACCAUGUUUGUUUCAGUGUGACUUGACGCUGAGAGGAAAGGAAGGUGUCCACGAUGACAACUUUUAAAUACACAACAGUAACAGUAGCGACGGGGAUGUGAAAAUUCCCAGCUAACAAACCUUUAGCGGAAAUGUGUUUCUCUCGUUACCGCGAGUGUCGUCUACGUUUGGAAAGAGCGUAGCGUGCUAACGUUAGCUUAGCCAGCUAGCUAGCAUGAACUCGGGCUGUCGCCGCUUUUGUUUACAUCCAGUCCUGAUGAUGGGCCUGCAGAGGUGUGUUAGCUAACCCAGCUACCCGACCUGUGUGAGGGGAAGAGUCAUCCUAAAAACACCCGCACUGUGAGGACCGGGGUCGUCCAUCCAAACUGCUGCCACCUCAGGGUGAUGGAAGUGUCCUCUCAGGAUACAUCUCUCAUGGCUAUGGACCUGUCAAAGGGCUACUCAGUCAACCCCCUCACCCGUAGCCACACUGAAGCCAUGGACCUGGCAAAGAAGCCCGAGUGGUACCACAGACGCCCGCAGAGCUGCAGCACGGAGAUCAGCUCCUCGUACAGAUCCAGAGCCGCGUCCUCCUACAACUCACUGUCCACGCAGCUGCAUCCUGAACCGGUUGCACCUGUCCACUGUAGAGACAUGGAGCAGGGUCCGGAGUCUCUCAGCAGCUACAUGAAUUCGACGCUAGCUCCGGGGCUGGAUCUGUACCGCGAAAGAGCCCACGGUAGCCUGUGGCAUCCAGGUUUCUACGGCGGGCCCGACCAGACCGGCGGUCCGGUUCCUGAAAGCAGCGGUGGAGAGGAGAGCGACAGCGGCUCUGAUGUUAUUUUUCUCGUCUCCUCAGCUAAGGAGCCACUCUUAUGCAGUCCUUUCAUCCAAGACGGCGUGAGGCACAUUGUGGAGCCCCUGUCCCCAGCUGUGUCCUCACUGGACGAAGGGAGAGGUUGCUAUCACCUACCUCAGCCUCUGAGCUCACCCAGUCCUGACAGCUCGUACUCAGAAGACUCCUCAGACAGCUCGGUGGAGAUACCUGUACAUCAUACCCGGCCCGUAGUCCUCCUGUCAGACCUCAGUGCUGUUUACAGCAACCCCACUGAAUCUCUGGUAGAUGUUUCAAGCGACGACAGCGACGUUAUCGAAGUUUCAGUGACUAACAAAAAGAAGAAAAGCAACACCUUUCCCUGUAAGAAAAGUUUUUCUCGUAAGAAGAGUCUGGCGAGAGAAACUCCCCCUCAGAGUGAGGAGGAAAAAAAUCCACCCAGAAAAGUACGACGUAGUACCCGAAUCAGGAAACCUGUCUCUGAAACGCCUCAGUUUACCUGCAGCGUGUCUCGGCACAGUUUGAGGAGACAAGCCAAAAACGAUGCGGUGGGUAUUUAUAACGAAAGUUGUGAUUCUGACGAUGUGAUGGAGUACGCGGGGAGGUUGUCCAGCUCAGAUCUAGACGAGUCGGCCUCACACCCAAAUGUGUCGCAAAGAGUGAGCAGUAACUCAGAGGAGUCUGGUGUGGACGUCCAGGCAGACAGGAAGUCGCCGCAGAGAGAGUCGCACGAGCAGCCGUCUCGCCGCAAAGUGUCACGCGCGAAAAGCAUCAGUCAUAAACGAAAGAAGCCCCUCACUGUUCGUAAAACUAAAAAGUUAAGAAGAACUGAACAGAAACAAAACAGCAGAGUCUCACAAGGGCAGCGUCAAAAAUCAUCAAACACAAAAACCGUCCCAAGACGGAAGAAAAAAAGGCGAACGCAGAAAAGACCUUCUGCCCAGUUUCCUCCCAGAGAGCCAGAAAUCAAGCUUAAAUAUGCAAACAUAAAAGAGGAAAAAAAGGACAAGAAAUCAGGCAGUUUUUGCCCAUUUGUUCACAUUGAGAAGAGGAUGUGCACCGUUGUCAACUAUCAGGAGGAGGAGGCGACAGUGAGGAGCAGCAGAGGACCCCAGCAGACGGCGCCCAGGUCUCUGUCAGGGUUUGUCCCUCAUACGUCCUGUUUCCAGCUCGGCCGCUUUGGCUCGGACAGCAAGUGUCAGGACUCGCUGCUGUGCUGCCUGUGCGGUCAGACGGCCAACGCCAUGGGCCUCGGGGACCUUCACGGCCCGUACUAUCCGAUUAGCUCGUCCGUGGACUGCCAGAACCACAACCAGCAGAACUGCAGGACUGAGCAGAAAGAGGAAGAACAGCUGCUCGUCAAACGACAUGCAGUGAAUUCCUCAGAGGAUGGUUGCGGUGAUUUCGACGACUCUGCCGUCAAAGGUUUGCUCGAGAACGACAACCACUCUCUCCCAAAGGUGCCUCUUCAUCUGGACGAGUGCUGGAUCCACGAGGACUGCGGCAUCUGGUCCGCUGGCAUCUUCCUGGUCAGAGGGAAGCUGUACGGGUUGGAGGAGGCGGCCCGGCUCGCACAAGAAACGAAAUGUUCAGUGUGCCAACAAACGGGUGCAAUAAUGGGAUGUUUCCAGAAGGGCUGUCCCAGAAACUAUCACUACAGAUGUGCCGUUCAGUCAGGCUGUGUCUUAACUGAAGACAACUUCUCCAUCAGAUGUCCAGAGCACAAGGUAAAGGUGUGAGGAGCUGCUCGGCCUCUGGGGGUCAGUAGCGUAGCCUUUAGGAUGCUGUCUCCAAAUACUACUACAUCCUGCAUACAAACAACUGUAUGGGGGGUAUAUGAAAUAACAAACCGUUCACGAGUGUCACCAGACAACAACACAAGAGAUGACGCGGAAGACAUUUGGGGGCACUGGAGAAUGAUCCACAGAUCUCCUCAGGGUGCGACGUGAUCUGCCUGAUUUCACCUCUGCAGUUUUAUAACACUAAUUAACUUGAGCGUGUUUGCUCGAGCAGAAGGCAGACCUUCUGGUGAGAUUUCACUCGACCUCACAGACAGAUCAACCAGGGGCCACUUAAGGAUUUUUAUAAGACACAUCUUUGUUUUGUUGUAUUUCUAUGGGGUGUGUGUGUGUGUGUGUGUGUGUGUGUCUGAUUGUGAGUGUGUAUGGCUAUUUAUUCCUCUUCUUGAAGACUCACAAAUACAGUUUAUUAAUUGAACAUAAUAGGUAUAUUAGAGUUUAAAUGAGCUUUAUUGAUUUGUUGUAUAGUAUAUGAUAUCUUUAUAUAAGAACACUUCUUUUCUUUCUUCAGGUUUUGUACUACUUUUCUAUUUCUAUUACUGUUCAUCUUCACAUAACCAACAUAAUUUAUUUACAUUGAUUUGCAUGCACAGUUGAUGUUUGCUACAAUGCACUUUAUAGUAUAAUUUUAAUUAUUUAUGUCUAUUUGUAGACUUUGUUCUUCCAUUUUUACUAAAAUUAUUUAAAUGUAAUAUAAAGCUGCACUAAGAUUAUAUAGAAAUAUGAAAUUCACAAAGUAGGGCUGCUACAGAGAACAUCCCGACCCCCUUAAAGUGAGACCGCAAACUGUACAAUCGCCGCAUUCAAGCAGAUUUAUUUCUGGUGUCGGGUUUAGAUGCUUCUCUGCUCACAGGAUGCAGAAACUUAAGAUUGACAAACAGAACAAAAUGUCUCCUAAACAGAAGCGAGAGUUCAUUUCAGUUUAGAAAAAGAUGCAUCAACGUCUAGUGGCCAAGCAGAAAUCAGAAAAUGUAAAGUUUUAAAGGGUCAGUUCAAUAAAAUCGCAAAAAAACAAAAUCACUUAACCCAACUCAACUAAUCCCAGUUUCUCAAAUGAGAGGAUUUGCUGCUGUUCUCUGUAUCAUCUCAUUGUAAAUUGAAUAUUUUGUGGACUGUUGUUCAGUAUAAACAUUGUUGGAACUGCAGUACCUUAUUUUGAGCGCUUCUGGGGGGAUGUAAACAGGAAAUCUAAUGUUGGCAUGAAUUCAGUAUGUUAGCUCUGGGCUACGGCUUGAGACUAACACAGACUAAAAAGCCUGUAUUUGUUUACAUUUUUGGCAAAUUAGCACAAUUAAAAGUACGCUGAAUGAGCUAUUAGCAAUCGCUGUUUGCAGCGUACAGACAUAUAUGACUGGAUUACUUUGAUACGUGCUACCACUGAAGUAAGUUGGAAAAUGUUUUUGUGAUUUGGGUGAAUUGACCCUUUAAGAUAUGGUAGCCAUGUAGAGCUGAAGUCGCCUAGUGCAGCUUGAAGUGUCCAUCUUUGUAUGAGCUUUUGUAUUUCAGUUCAGGAGUUGUUUUUAAAAAUUGAGGGUUUUUAAGUAAAUUGUCAGAGUUUGCUUUUAUGUCACUUUUUAUUAUUUGAGGAAUAAAAAUAUUAUUAAUGUUGUUUUAAUAAAAGUCGAUAAAACUGAA